CCUACGGGCGGCAGCAGUAGGGAAUAUUGCUCAAUGGGGGAAACCCUGAAGCAGCAACGCCGCGUGGAGGAUGAAGGUUUUCGGAUUGUAAACUCCUUUUGUUAGAGAAGAUAAUGACGGUAUCUAACGAAUAAGCACCGGCUAACUCCGUGCCAGCAGCCGCGGUAAUACGGAGGGUGCAAGCGUUACUCGGAAUCACUGGGCGUAAAGAGCGCGUAGGCGGGAUAGCAAGUCAGAUGUGAAAUCCUAGGGCUUAACCAUAGAACUGCAUUUGAAACUGUUAUUCUAGAGUAUGGGAGAGGUAGGUGGAAUUCUUGGUGUAGGGGUAAAAUCCGUAGAGACCAAGAGGAAUACUCAUUGCGAAGGCGACCUGCUAGAACAUAACUGACGCUGAUGCGCGAAAGCGUGGGGAGCAAACAGGAUUAGAUACCCUUGUAGUC
rnacentral:rRNA from 1 species